GACGUAGGGUGCAAGCGUUGUCCGGAUUUAUUGGGCGUAAAGAGCUCGUAGGCGGCUCGUCGCGUCGACCGUGAAAACUUGGGGCUUAACCCCAAGCCUGCGGUUGAUACGGGCGGGCUAGAGUUCGGUAGGGGAGACUGGAAUUCCUGGUGUAGCGGUGAAAUGCGCAGAUAUCAGGAGGAACACCGAUGGCGAAGGCAGGUCUCUGGGCCACUACUGACGCUGAGAAGCGAAAGCAUGGGGAGCGAACAGG
rnacentral:rRNA from 1 species